UGAAGACUAAGGUAGUAUUAGUUAUGUUCUUGAAACUUAAAAAAUUUGGCGGUAUUUUAGUCUAUUCAGAGGAACCUGUUGUUAAUCGAUAAUCCACGAUGGACCUAACUUAAAUUGUUUUUAAUUUAUAUACCGUCGUUAUUAAAAUAUUUUAUAAGAAUGAUAAUUUUUAAAAUUUUUAAUAAAAAAAUAUAUCAGAUCAAGGUGUAAUUUAUGUUUAAGUAAAAAUGGGUUACAAUAAAAUUAUUUAUAUGGAUAUAAAUGUGAAAUAUUUAUUGAAGGUGGAUUUGAAAGUAAAAUUAUAGAGAUUAAUAAUUUGAUUUUAGCUCUAAAAUAUGUACAUAUCGCCCGUCACUCUUAUUAUUUUAUUAAGAUAAGAUAAGUCGUAACAUAGUAGAUGUACCGGAAGGUGUAUCUAGAAUACAAU
rnacentral:rRNA from 3 species